GGGAACGAGGAGGAGGAAGAGAUUAGAAGCAGCAAGUGAAGGAGAAGGAAGAGGAGGAGAAAGAGCUAGAAUCGGUAAGUAUAGGAGAAACAGAGGGAGGUAGAGAGGAAGGCUACCAGGGAAGGAGGAGGAGGAGGAGGAGGAUAGAAAGCAGGAGGAAGAGGUAUUUUGAUGAGUUUCGUGCAGGAAGAGGAAGAGAGAGAAGAAGAGUUUUAAAUGGGCUUAAGACAGGAGGAAGACGAAAGGGAGGAAGAGAAAUUCAAUGGAGGUUAGUGCCGGAGGAGGAAUAGAAGGAAAGGGAGGAAGUUAGAGACGGCUAGGUAGGAGAAAGAAGAGAGGGAAGAAGAGUUUUAAAUGAUUGGGAAAGGAAGAAAGAGAGAGAGAGGUAGAUGAUUUUAGAAGCGAAGGAAGAGAAGAGAAGGAUGAGAAGAAUAAGAGUUGUGAAGCUGCAUGUGUAGGAGGUAUAGAGAGAAGGAAGAAAAGAAGUUUAUAAGCGGUGGUGUGGGAGGGGGAAAUAAACAGAGGUAUGAAGUGGUAGUGAUCAGUCCAAGAAGAGGAGAAGGAGAAGGAGAAUGUUAGAAGUGGCUAGUACAAUAGAAAGAAGAGAAGAAAGUUGGUAGGUUAGUGGAAGACGAAGAAAGGUAGAAGAGUAGGAGGUUGGUAGCUGUUAGUGCAAGGAAGAAAAGUAGGAAGAUGGAGGAGGUCUGAAGUGGGCAGUACAGGAAGACGAACAAACAGGAAAAGGGGAAGAUAAGGGGAAAGAAGAAAAGUAGGUUAGUGGCUGUCAGUGCAAGAAGAGAAAGAAAAGUAGCAGGAAGGGGUAUGGAGCUGGUAGUACAGGAAGACAAGCAAACAGGAAAAGGACGAGGAAAAGGGAAAUACAAGGAAAAAGAAGAAGAGUAGGAGGUUAAUAGCUGUCAGUGCAAGAAGAAAAAGAAAAGUAGCAGGAAGGAAGGGGUCUGAAGCAGGUAGUACAGGAAGACAAACAAAGAGGAAAAGGAAGAGGAGGUUACAAGAGAUUAGCACCGGGAAAGAAGCAGGUCAGAGGAAGGAGGAAGAGCCAGGAUGGUGGUUGAGGAUGUAUAAAUAACAGACAGAAAGAGGGUAUUAGGAGGGGAUAGUAAAGAGAUGAAUAUGAGAGAUAGGAGCUAGAGAGAAAGAAGAGGAGAUUGUAGCGGAUUGUUAGAAAGGUGAGGUUUAGUAAGAAGGAAGAGUCUGCUAGAUGUGAAUGGGUUUGUUCAUCGAUUUGUUACAGGGGGAAGGGAAGAGUGGGUUAGUGAGGUUUAGUAAGAAGGAAGAGUCUGCUAGAUGUGAAUGGGUUUGUUCAUCGAUUUGUUACAGGGGGAAGGGAAGAGCGGGUUAGUGAGGUUUAGUAAGAAGGAAGAGUCUGCUAGAUGUGAAUGGGUUUGUUCAUCGAUUUGUUACAGGGGGAAGGGAAGAGCGGGUUAGUGAGGUUUAGUAAGAAGGAAGAGUCUGCUAGAUGUGAAUGGGUUUGUUCAUCGAUUUGUUACAGGGGGAAGGGAAGAGCGGGUUAGUGAGGUUUAGUAAGAAGGAAGAGUCUGCUAGAUGUGAAUGGGUUUGUUCACAGAUUUGUUACAGGGGGAAGGGAAGAGCGGGUUAGUGAGGUUUAGUAAGAAGGAAGAGUCUGCUAGAUGUGAAUGGGUUUGUUCAUCGAUUUGUUACAGGGGGAAGGGAAGAGCGGGUUAGUGAGGUUUAGUAAGAAGGAAGAGUCUGCUAGAUAUGAAUGGGUUUGUUCAUAGAUUUGUUACAGGGGGAAGGGAAGAGCGGGUUAGUGAGGUUUAGUAAGAAGGAAGAGUCUGCUAGAUGUGAAGGGGUUUGUUCAUCGAUUUAUUACAGGGGGAAGGGAAGAGCGGGUUACAUAAUACAAGCAGGAUAUGAAGGAGUAAAAGAAGUAAGAUGAUAAGACGUAAUAUGAUAAAAAGGAUGCCGAAGAAGUACAAGGAGCAAGAUGAUAAAGAAAUGAAAAAGAGAACAUUACAGACUUCAUACAUUAAGAGCAGUUCAGUUCAUCCCACACACAUCUUCCCUCUCUCCGUCUCUCUCAUACUCCCUUUCAUAACUUUGUAACUCCAUUAUGGUCCGUCCUUCACAUGCCUUCACCCACUAACAUCCUCUUCCUCGCUCAACCCUCAACACCUCGCCAAACCCACGUCACCCAACCACCGCCACACGUC